rnacentral:lncRNA from 1 species
AUGAGCGAGACCUCGAGCGACUGGGUCUUUCCACUGCUGUCUUCAGAGCUGCACUUACACUGCUGCUUCUGCCACCUAAGAAAAAACAAUGGACUAACAAAGGAGAAAGUCUCUCACUCAACCUGCUGCAGAAGAAUGAGCGCCUUGUGGUGUUUUGAAUGUCUGUGGCAGAGGGUGACACGCAGCCAAAGGCCCUGGGUGCUUGUGAAGAGAGUGGCGAAAUACAACACUUUGUACCUUUCAGGUAACUCUAGGUUGUACAGAGUAAGGUCAGUCAUGAUCAUUAAACAAGCGUGCUUUAAAGAAGAUGAAAUGAAAAUUUAUGUUCCUUUCAGAAUAAAACAUCUUAAAAUUUCUAUAAAUUGUUAUGCCUCAUGCAUAUUGCAAAAAUAUGCAGUAAAAAUAAAUUGUACCUGUCCGAAUUCUUCCAAGGCACCCUUAAACUACAAAUCACUUUAAUCUUAAUGGGGCAUCGUAUAAGCUAGUCCACGUUUUAUGCCAGUCAGACCAGAGAUGUGUGGACAGCACGCAUCAGGAACGCAGUGCUCGGCGCUUGCGCAUGGUAUCAUCUCAGGUGGAGUAUGUACAUACACAACCCGAUGCAUUUAUAAAAAGAUACAGCUAUUCUAGAUAUGAUUCAGAUACAGAUAACACUGUCCCUGUGAUGGUAGCUGCUAAUGAGGAUGCUGACGCUGAAAACACUGGAUUCUAAACGCCACUGUAUGGACUGAUCUUGACCUCUUUUAGCGUGUAUACUAUAUUCUUUGGAUUGUGCCUAUUGACACUAUACCAAAAGCUUAAAACCUGGAUUUUUGCCUCAGAGCCUGGCUUCAGGGUCUGCCUAACAACUGGCUCCAAAAUGAACAAACCUUCAAUGAUUGCUGCUCAUAAUGAAUUUCUUUUCAUGUGGGCUCAAAUGAGAUCUAGAUUUCAUGUCUAAGUCACACAAACACCCACACGAAAGGUAAAUGCUUAUGAAAAAAGUUGUAUUAAUGGCUCUAAUCCUAAACUGUUGUUCAAUCGCUGAGUCUCUAGCACUUUGCGACCCCCUGGACUGCAACACGCCAGGCUUCCCUAUCCUUCUCUGUCUCCUGGGGUUUGCUCAAACUUGAGUCCAUUGAGUCGAUAAUGCCAUCUGACCAUCUCCUUCUCUGUAGCCCCCUUCUCCUCCUGCCCUCAGUCUAAUCCUAUAGGAAGUUUAAAUUAGGAGGGCAGAGUUAUGCAUGUCCCUGCUGCAACAACUGCAUGUGAAUAAAGAAUUUAAAACGUGUGUAUUCCGAAUAAUAAUGUUCAAGAGGUUUGCAAACGUGCACACCUGUGGACUUGCAAUUCGGGCUGAAAAAGGGAAGUCCAGGGCAUGCUAUACUCACACAGUAGGCCUUGUGGUCUGGUACAUAAAGCACUCCCGCUGGGCGUGAAUCUUGAGGAGUAGAUGGAGGCUUACCUCUCCGAAUAUCACACCUGGAGAAAACUGUCCUAUCCUGCAUCCAGGCCUUUGCCCGGGUCAUUUCUUCUGUGUUUCCUUUGGGUUUUGAGCUCACAGGACUCUUGUCUAAGAAGCCUUUCUGAGCUACCUGCCAAGGCUCCCAUAGCACUUGUUUAUCCCCAUAUAAGGGCUCACUAUCCUGAAUUGUUAUUUUCUAAACCGCAGCAACUCUGAGCAGUCGGGUGGAUCCCAAGCAUUUUUAUGAGAUAAACCAUCUGAGCUGUGACCUUCCUGGUCAGGGUCAUCUCAGUUUCCCUCAUCGUUGGGUCCUCAGCCCCUGGAGCAGAGUCUGAAAAUAGACAUUCACUUACUAUUUAUUAAAUGAAACAAAUUUUUAAACAGUUAAAACAGGAGUUAAAGUCCUGUGUUUCAUUCUACCAGACUUUUAGCUGAUCACUAAUUUACCUGUUAAAUUUUUUAAAGCACACUUUCACAUAAUUUGCUGCUGUGAUAUUAGCCAUAUUUGCUGGUGUUAUUUAACCUGGCUGUCAGAUACGGAAUGUCCAAUAAACACGUUUUCUCUUUUCAUUUCUUU